AAGCUCGUAGUUGAAUUUCGGGAUCAAUGUUUCGGUCAUGCCGUUGGUAUGUACUGAUAUUAUUGAUUUCUCACCUUCUAAAGAACCGUAAUGCCAUUAAUUUGGUGUCACGGGGAAUUAGGACUGUUACCUUGAAAAAAUUAGAGUGUUUAAAGCAGGCUCACGCUUGAAUACAUUAGCAUGGAAUAAUGAAAUAGGACAUCCGAUUCUAUUUUGUUGGUUUCUAGGAUUGACGUAAUGAUUAAUAGGGAUAGUUGGG
rnacentral:rRNA from 1 species